rfam:Burkholderia calidae type strain LMG 29321 genome assembly, contig: contig000006
CUGAGCGACUCGCAAGGGGCGCUGAGCGCCGCGCAGGAGUCAGCAGCGGGCAUAUUAGGGCGGCGACGUCUGAAGGCC